GAUGAACGCUAGCGGCAGGCUUAAUACAUGCAAGUCGAGGGGCAGCAUGAUUGUAGCAAUACAAUUGAUGGCGACCGGCAAACGGGUGCGGAACACGUACACAACCUCCCAAUAAGUGGGGAAUAGCCCAGAGGAAUUUGGAUUAAUACCCCGUAACAUAACGAUGUGGCAUCACAUUGUUAUUAUAGAUUUUUCGCUUAUUGAUGGGUGUGCGGCUGAUUAGAUAGUUGGCGGGGUAACGGCCGACCAAGUCUACGAUCAGUAGCUGAUGUGAGAGCAUGAUCAGCCACACGGGCACUGAGACACGGGCCCGACUCCUACGGGAGGCAGCAGUAAGGAAUAUUGGACAAUGGACGCAAGUCUGAUCCAGCCAUGCCGCGUGAAGGAUUAAGGUCCUCUGGAUUGUAAACUUCUUUUAUAAGGGACGAAAAAAGGCUUUUCUAAGUCGUCUGACGGUACCUUAUGAAUAAGCACCGGCUAACUCCGUGCCAGCCGCCGCCGUAAGAC
rnacentral:rRNA from 1 species